rnacentral:rRNA from 1 species
GCCUGUCUCAGUUCGGAUUGGAGUCUGCAACUCGACUCCAUGAAGCUGGAUUCGCUAGUAAUCGCGCAUCAGCCAUGGCGCGGUGAAUACGUUCCCGGGCCUUGUACACACCGCCCGUCAAGCCAUGGGAGCCGGGGGUGCCUGAAGUACGUGACCGCGAGGAGCGUCCUAGGGCAAAACUGGUGACUGGGGCUAAGUCGUAACAAGGUAUC